rnacentral:rRNA from 1 species
GAUAAUUUGCCCUUAGGUCUGGAAUAGCUUUGGGAAACUGAAGGUAAAUCCGGAUAGAGGAUUACUACUGGAAUGUAUCUUCCUUGAAAAGUAAUGCCUAAGGAUAAGUCGGCGGCUGAUUAGGUUGUUGGUGAGGUAAUGGCUCACCAAGCCUAAGAUCAGUAGGGGGGAUGAGAGUCCUAGCCCCGAGAAGGGCACUGAGAUACUGGCCCUAGCCCUAAGGGGUGCAGCAGGCGCGAAACCUUUACAAUGCACGAAAGUGUGAUAAGGGAACCCAAAGUGCUCUGUUUUUGCAGAGCUUUUGUUAAGUGUAAGUAUCUUGACGAAUAAGUGGUGGGCAAGACCGGUGCCAGCCGCCGCGGUAACACCGGCGCCACAAGUGGGGACCACGAUUAUUGGGCCUAAAGCGUUCGUAGCCUGUUUAGUAAGUCUUUUGUGAAAUAGCUGGGCUUAACCUAGCAACGUGCAAGAGAUACUGCUAAACUUGAAACCGGGAGGAGAUAGAAGUACUCUGAGGGGAGCGGUAAAAUGUUUUAAUCCUUGGGGGACUACCAGUGGCGAAGGCGUCUAUCUAGAACGGGUUUGACGGUGAGGAACGAAGGCCAGGGGCGCAAAACGGAUUAGAUACCCGAGUAGUCCUGGCAGUAAACGCUGCGUGCUAUGUGUUGCAUAUGUUUCGAGCAUAUGCAGUGCCUAAGCGAAGGUGUUAAGCACGCCGCCUGGGAAGUACGGUCGCAAGAUUGAAACUUAAAGGAAUUGGCGGGGGCUCACUACAAGGAGUGGAGCAUGCGGUUCAAUUGGAUUAUACUCCGGGAAUCUCACCAGGAGCGACGGCAGAAUGAAGGUCAGAUUAAAGGUUUUACCUGACAAGCCGAGAGGUGGUGCAUGGCCGACGCCAGCUCGUGCCGUGAGGUGUCAUGUUAAGUCAUGCAACGAGCAAGACCCAUAUCUAUUUUUGCCAGCAAGUCCUAUGGGAUGAUUGGGCACAAUAUAGAGACUGCCUGUGUAAAUAGGAGGAAGGUGUGGGCAACGUUAGGUCUGUAUGCCCCGAAUCUCCUGGGCUACACGCGUGCUACAAUGGCAAGGACAAAAGGAUGCGACUCUGAAAAGAGAAGCCAACCCUCUAAACCUUGUCUAAGUUCGGAUUGAGGAUUGUAACUCAUCCUCAUGAAGCUGGAAUUCCUAGUAAUCGGACUUCAACAUGGUCCGGUGAAUCUGUCCCUGAGCCUUGCACACACUGCCCGUCAAACCAACCGAGCAGGGUCUGGAUGAGAUACAGCUUUUUGGCUAUAUCGAAUCUAGGUUCAGUAAGGUGGGUUAAGUCGUCACAAGGUA